rnacentral:rRNA from 1 species
GACAGAGGGUGCAAACGUUGUUCGGAAUUACUGGGCGUAAAGCGCGUGUAGGCGGCCCGGAAAGUCGGAUGUGAAAGCCCUGGGCUUAACCCAGGAAGUGCAUUCGAAACUCCCGGGCUUGAGUUCUGGAGAGGAAGGCGGAAUUCUCGGUGUAGAGGUGAAAUUCGUUGAUAUUGGAAGGAACGCCGGUGGCGAAAGCGACCUGCUGGACCUCUUCUGACGCUGAUGCGCGAAAGCUAGGGGAGCGAACGGG